GCUUCUGUGGCGUAGUUGGUAGCGCAACUGAUUCGUAAUCAGUAGGUCGUCAGUUCGAGUCUGAUCAGGAGCU
rnacentral:tRNA from 1 species